CAGCCGCCGCGGUAAUACGUAGGUGGCAAGCGUUGUCCGGAAUUACUGGGCGUAUAGCGCACGUGGGCGGCUUUGUAAGUCAGAGGUGAAAGCCUGGAGCUCAACUCCAGAACUGCCUUUGAGACUGCAUCGCUUGAAUCCAGGAGAGGUGAGUGGAAUUCCGAGUGUAGAGGUGAAAUUCGUAGAUAUUCGGAAGAACACCAGUGGCGAAGGCGGCUCACUGGACUGGUAUUGACGCUGAGGUGCGAAAGCAUGGGGAGCAAACAGGAUUAGAUACCCCCGUAGUCCCUGUCUCUUAUAU
rnacentral:rRNA from 1 species